GCCUUCGUGGUGUAAUGGUCAGCACACUGAGCCGGUAUUUCAGAGGUCCGUGGUUCGAUCCCCUGCGAGGGCA
rnacentral:tRNA from 1 species